rnacentral:misc_RNA from 1 species
GAUGAAGAACGCAGCGAAAUGCGAUAAGUAAUGCGAAUUGCAGAAUCCGUGAGUCAUCGAAUCUUUGAACGCACAUUGCGCCCCUUGGUAUUCCGAGGGGCAUGCCUGUUCGAGCGUCAUUAUAACCCCUCAAGCUCAGCUUGGUGUUGGGGCCUGCUGCACUGGCAGCCCUUAAAAUCAGUGGCGGCGCCAUCUGGCUCUAAGCGUAGUAAUUCUUCUCGCUAUGGAGUCCUGGUGGAUGCUUGCCAUCAACCCCCAAUUUUUCUAUGGUUGACCUCGGAUCAGGUAGGGAUACCCGCUGAACUUAAGCAUAUCAAUAAGCGGAGGA